UACAGAGGUCUCGAGCGUUGUUCGGAUUUAUUGGGCGUAAAGGGCGCGUAGGCGGCGGUGUAAGUCUGGUGUGAAAUCUCGGAGCUCAACUCCGAAAUUGCACUGGAUACUGCUCUGCUAGAGGGCUGGAGAGGAGAUCGGAAUUCACGGUGUAGCAGUGAAAUGCGUAGAUAUCGUGAGGAAGACCAGUGGCGAAGGCGGAUCUCUGGACAGCACCUGACGCUGAGGCGCGAAGGCUAGGGGAGCAAACGGG
rnacentral:rRNA from 1 species